rnacentral:rRNA from 1 species
GUGAGGAAUAUUGCGCAAUGGAGGCAACUCUGACGCAGCCAUGCCGCGUGCGGGAAGAAGGCGCUACGCGUUGUAAACUGCUUUUAACCGGGAAGAAACCCCAGGACGUGUCCUGGGUUGACGGUACCGGAGGAAUAAGCACCGGCUAACUUCGUGCCAGCAGCCGCGGUAAUACGAAGGGUGCAAGCGUUAUCCGGAUUCAUUGGGUUUAAAGGGUGCGUAGGCGGAGCGUUAAGUCAGUGGUGAAAUCCUGCAGCUUAACUGUAGACUUGCCAGUGAGACUGGCGCUCUUGAGUGCGCUUGAAGUGGGCGGAAUGUGCCGUGUAGCGGUGAAAUGCUUAGAUAUGGCACAGAACACCAAUUGCGAAGGCAGCUCACUAAGGCGAUACUGACGCUGAGGCACGAAAGCGUGGGGAUCGAACAGGAUUAGAUACCCGGGUAGUCC